rnacentral:sRNA from 1 species
AUUUUUUCUUCUCCUUCUCUAA